rnacentral:tRNA from 1 species
UGGGGUUGUGGCUCAGCGGUAGAGCGCUCGCCUCGCAUGUGAGAGGCCCUGGGUUCGAUCCUCAGCACCACAA